rnacentral:rRNA from 1 species
AUGCACGCUGGCGGCGUGCCUAAUACCUGCCAGUCGCACGCAUAGCGAAAGGUGCUUGCACCUUUCAAGUGAGUGGCGAACGGGUGAGUAACACGUGGACAACCUGCCUCAAGGCUGGGGAUAACAUUUGGAAACAGAUGCUAAUACCGAAUAAAACUUAGUGUCGCAUGACACAAAGUUAAAAGGCGCUUCGGCGUCACCUAGAGAUGGAUCCGCGGUGCAUUAGUUAGUUGGUGGGGUAAAGGCCUACCAAGACAAUGAUGCAUAGCCGAGUUGAGAGACUGAUCGGCCACAUUGGGACUGAGACACGGCCCAAACUCCUACGGGAGGCUGCAGUAGGGAAUCUUCCACAAAGGGCGAAAGCCUGAUGGAGCAACGCCGCGUGUGUGAUGAAGGCUUUCGGGUCGUAAAGCACUGUUGUAUGGGAAGAACAGCUAGAAUAGGAAAUGAUUUUAGUUUGACGGUACCAUACCAGAAAGGGACGGCUAAAUACGUG